UGGGGUACUCGAGCGGCGAACGGGUGAGUAACACGUGAGUAACCUGCCCCUGACUCUGGGAUAAGCCUGGGAAACUGGGUCUAAUACCGGAUACGACCUCCUGCGGCAUCGUGGGUGGUGGAAAGUUUUUCGGUUGGGGAUGGGCUCGCGGCCUAUCAGCUUGUUGGUGGGGUAGUGGCCUACCAAGGCGACGACGGGUAGCCGGCCUGAGAGGGCGACCGGCCACACUGGGACUGAGACACGGCCCAGACUCCUACGGGAGGCAGCAGUGGGAAUAUUGCGCAAUGGGCGGAAGCCUGACGCAGCGACGCCGCGUGGGGGAUGACGGCCUUCGGGUUGUAAACCUCUUUCAGCAGGGACGAAGUUGACGUGUACCUGCAGAAGAAGCGCCGGCUAACUACGUGCCAGCAGCCGCGGUAAUACGUAGGGCGCAAGCGUUGUCCGGAAUUAUUGGGCGUAAAGAGCUCGUAGGUGGCUGGUCGCGUCUGCCGUGAAAGCCCGCAGCUUAACUGCGGGUCUGCGGUGGAUACGGGCCGGCUAGAGGUAGGUAGGGGCAAGUGGAAUUCCUGGUGUAGCGGUGAAAUGCGCAGAUAUCAGGAGGAACACCGGUGGCGAAGGCGGCUUGCUGGGCCUUACCUGACACUGAGGAGCGAAAGCGUGGGGAGCGAACAGGAUUAGAUACCCUGGUAGUCCACGCUGUAAACGUUGGGCGCUAGGUGUGGGGGUCUUCCACGAUCUCCGUGCCGGAGCUAACGCAUUAAGCGCCCCGCCUGGGGAGUACGGCCGCAAGGCUAAAACUCAAAGGAAUUGGCGGGGGUCCGCACAAGCGGUGGAGCAUGUGGUUUAAUUCGAUAUACGCGAGGAACCUUACCUGGGCUAGAAUGCAGAUUGACCGUGGGUGAAAGCUCAUUUUGUAGCAAUACACAGUCUGUAAGGUGCUGCAUGGCUGUCGUCAGCUCGUGCCGUGAGGUGUUGGGUUAAGUCCCGCAACGAGCGCAACCCCCAUCAUUAGUUGCCAUCAGGUAAAGCUGGGAACUCUAAUGAAACUGCCGUCGUAAGACGCGAGGAAGGAGGGGAUGAUGUCAAGUCAUCAUGGCCUUUAUGCCCAGGGCUACACACGUGCUACAAUGGAAGGGACAAAGAGCUGCCACUUGGCGACAAGGCGCUAAUCUCAAAAACCCUUUCUCAGUUCAGAUCGCAGUCUGCAACUCGACUGCGUGAAGCUGGAAUCGCUAGUAAUCGUAUAUCAGCAAUGAUACGGUGAAUACGUUCCCGGACCUUGCACACACCGCCCGUCAAGCCAUGGAAGCUGGGUGUACCUAAAGUCGGUAACCGCAAGGAGCCGCCUAGGGUAAAACUAGUGACUGGGGCUAAGUCGUAACAAGGUA
rnacentral:rRNA from 1 species